AAGUGACUCUGCCAUUGAAGCCACACAAUCGUCACUUUAGCUCCUGGGCCCUCCGAUUCUCACUUCAUUAAUUGGAAGCAGGAAGUAUCAGCAGAGAUCAUUCACCGGGCAUGCGGAGUGAUAAAAAGCUGGUCAGUCUCCAACUGUUGUUUGUUUUGUUUUGUUUUGUUUUGUUUUGACCCCAUUGGGUUUGAAACCAUUGGAAAGGGGACCAUGCUGGAGCCUCUCUGCUACCUCCUUUCUCCCUCCACCUGGCCAGCUAUUCCCGGAGGAGCAAGCUCCUGGGAUUGGGAUUUGUGGGUUUGUGAAGUAGGGAGCCCCGUGGGGGGAGGGAGGAAAGAGAGGGUAGCCGUCCACGGUUGGGACGGUGACAGUGAGAGUAUUUUACGGGCAGCUACUUUUAACUCAUGGUCCCACAUCAGCCAGCACAGAGUCACGGACCGUGGGUGGGAGGAAAGCGUGGGCAUGGCGGGGAGGCUGAGGCCAACGCUGACCACAGGUUCCUCAGGUUGAACCUAAAGAAACUGUAUUUAGUUAGACCCCAGCACACUUAGCUAAUGCAGACUCCUGGGCCCUGCACUUAGGGUCCUUAAGUAUUACAGCUCCCGGCAGGUGCAGACAGAUGCCUGGUCCAGGACAACUCUGAGGAAGUGAUGGUAAUGGAAGGAGCAAGGGCAAAGGAAAUACUGAAUGGUGUAGGCGGCCAGAAACAGAGCUCCGGAGCCCUCGGCUCGCCCCCCUGGAAGCUCUACUGUGUCCCUUCUGCCCAGAGUCCCCACAGCUCAUGUAGGUCAGAUCCCUGAGAACAGAUGUGACUGAGCCACAAAAGAAAAAAAAAGGCUAAAUUUAGCAGGACAUCAUCAAACCCUUUCGUUUGAUGAGUAGUAUUUGCCUAGUGCUUUGACGCUUUUGAAAGAAACAUGAAAUCAGAGGGUAAAUUACUGGGACAGUACACAAAGCAGGUAGCCGGCCAGCAGGGCUUUAAGAUAAUCCUGAAUCGAAGCAACUAUGUCAAAAGCCCAAGCAGGGUGUUGAAAAGGCUUUCGUAAUUUAUUUAGAAAGGAUCUCAUGUUCUUAGGAAAGGACUACGUUUUUCUUGCUAGAGGUGAGCAAACGCUUGGGUUCAUGGCCAUUAGAUCAGACGUAAUUAAUAGAAUGCUAACUCAUUAUUUCUGAAGCCAAAUCCCCCAGGUGCUGAGGGCAAGGCAGGAAGUAAAAAGCCACUCAAGCAAGAGACCGUGUCUUAUUAACCACACUUCCUGUGAUGAAACACUAUCAUUUCUUCUCUUUGCUUUAAAUUUGUAUCGCAAUGAAUCGAAACGGACAGCUUUGAGUAUUUCAAGAUAGAGAAGAAUGGGUAUUAACAUCCCCAUUUGUGGAGGAAGAUAUGGGGACUCAGGCUCCCACGCUCAGAAUGAGCGCUUCACUUCCUCUCCUCUUUCCAAACCUAGUCUUAGCCCCUCACGUUAUGAUUGCUUCAAACUGGAUAAAAUGGGAAUAAGCAGACUGAUCACUAAGAGGGUCUGCCCAGCUUACAUCCAGGCUGUCUCCUGGUAGGGUUUCCUGCUGGUUUGGGGGACCACCAUGAAGAUGGGGGGCACAGGGAGUCAUAUCAGGGAGUUCUGUGACAUGGCUUAUCAAGGAUUAUACAGUAACUGACGAGCACUGAGCACUUGCUGGUACUGUGCUGAGAUCUUUUCAUGUAUUAGCGUCAUGAUAAUCUGUGAAGUUGGUAUUAUUAUAAGUCAUUCUACAGAUAAGGACACAGAGGCACGGAUCUGAAGCCACCUUUCCAAGGUCACACAGUAGGUGUAAACCCAUCUAGAUCUGUACUUGUGGGCCGAAUGCUAAUACUUUGUCGCUAACUUUGUUGUCAGUGGCAUUCCUAGCAGUUUGAGUGAAUUUAUAAGAACAGUGAAUGCAGCAGAGAAAGAGCAUGCUCAGAGUCAGGACACCUGAGUUCCGGUCCCAACCGUGCUACUGCCUGGCUGUGUAUCUAGGGCUCCCUUUACUCAUCCGCAAAACUAAGGUUUGAGUCCACGUAUUCUCUGUGGUUCUUCACAGAUCUAAUGGGGCACAUUCGAUUAAAGACUGUCCUAUUUGAGUCUUCACUUCCCAAACUAGAGUCUGAAGAUACUCUCCGAGCUCCUACAACUCCAAAAAGUUACACUAGUUACUUUAGAAAGACUAAGUUUGUAAGAACUAUUGUAUUUAGUGGCUGAGCUUUGCAAAGCUCCUAGAAUGUUAAAAAUUCGUAUUUCCGGGGCGCCUGGGGGGCUCGGUCGGUUGAGCGUCCGACUUCGGCUCAGGUCAUGAUCUCGCGGUCCGUGAGUUCGAGCCCCGCAUCAGGCUCUGUGCUGACAGCUCGGAGCCUGGAACCCGCUUCGGAUUCUGUGUCUCCCUCUCUCUCUGCCCUUCCUUUCCUCGUGCUCGUGCUCUGUCUCUCUCUGUCUCAAAAAUAAAUAAAACAUUAAAAAAAAUUUUUUAAUUCAUAUUUCGAUGCUGCCACAUGGGCUUGCAUUGAUGUUGACAUCUAGCGUCCAGUCACUCCUCAUGGCAGUUCUGAGAGGUGAGUGGGUGACUGUGGGUCAAGGCAGGGAAGGACAGCAUCCCCACCUCUCAAACAUCUCUCUUUUGAUGGCUUUUGGCGGCUGAAAAACCACUUUCACAGAUCACAGGAGCUCAUUUAAUCGUCCUAACACCCUGUGAAGAAGGUGUUAGCCUUCUCAUGUUACAGAUGAAGAAAUUAACCCCAGAAAGCGGCAUGCCUUGACUAAACUCUAAACACUCACAAAUAAUGACAGGGGCCCCGCACCUCAUUUUUGACUCUGAAUCUAGAUAUAUUUCCGUUGAGUCUUGUAAGGACCGCAGGAUCGUGUAGCCAGCAGGGCUGGGGAGUGGCUGUUCGAUUCACGACGCCAACCCUUAGCAUCCCUGUGGUCUUGGGUGAGUCAUCCAGACCCUAUGUGUCUCCCCUGUGGUCUUGGGUGAGUCAACCAGACCCUAUGUGUCUCAUCUGUGAAAUGGGUUGAUACUCACCAUGCAAUGGUAAUGGCUUAGAAAUAUGUUCAAUUCAAAUACAUACAUUCAAAAUCACUUACUAGCGGACCUGGUGCAAAGCAGAUACUCAAAAGUCACUAUUAUUUCCAUUUCUCCAUGUUUGAAAACUUCGUAUCUUCUUUUGCCUCCAAGAAGUUGACAGUGCAGUCACUGAAGCCUAUGGCGUUGUUACGCAAAUAAGGAACCAGUUAGUUUUCCUAUGGAAAUAAUUUUUUUUUUUUUUGGUCAGUGAAGGGCAAAGAUGAAGAUAAAUUAGGAAUUUGAAAAAUUGUCCAUUUAAUACAUGAGAAUAAUCUGGGGCCGCAGGGUUACAGUUUUCUUGUUAUUUAAGUCUCUUCAUUCUUUUGGCUCCUAAAUCUCACUUCCCAUCUUUUAAACUCACCUUUAAGGGGCGCGUGGGUGGCUCAGUCGGUUGAGCGUCUGACUUCGGCUCAGGGCAUGGCCUCGAGGUUCGUGAGUUCGAGCCCCGCGUCGGGCUCUGUGCUAACGAACAGCUCAGGGCCUGAAGCCUGCUUCGGAUUCUGUGUCUCCCUCUCUCUCUCUCCCCCUCCGCCUCCCCUGCUCAUGCUCUGUCUCUCUCUGUCUCUCAAAAAUAAAUAAAUAAAUGUUAAAAAAAAUAAAUAAAAAAUAAAUAUACUCAGCUUUAAAAAGCGAACUCACAAAUGGUAUAAUGUAUUAGUCAGGCUGCCCCCUCAGGCAUUAUGCUCAGAAAAGUAAACUCUAAUGGAAAAUCAAGCAUUGGAAAAUCUAUAUUCAGCAUAUGCAGCUGUGUCCGUGGUGAAACAUUUACCCAUUCUCAAUUUACGGAGGAAUAAGCAAAAAGCUAGUGUCCAGAGAGAAUAAACAAGCCUCUAAGCUAGACUUUUCCAUUUUUUAUUACUAUUCAUGUACAUUUAUUUUAAAAAAAAAACAUUUAUUUUAACCACCGUUAUUUAUUUUUCAGUUGCAGAAGGUUGGUGCCCUGCUGAUGAUCACCGUUAGUUUCUGGUAUUUCUUGACCUACUGUGUGUGGAAGGCUCUUUGCAUCAUCCCAUUGAAUCCGUCUGACCCUGCAGCGAAGCGUGAAGAGCCUCACAGUGCUGGCUGACUCUAGAGUCUGUGUUCUCUCCUCCACCUUCCGGCCUCCGGGAUUUUGCUUCCAAGAAGUUGACAGUGCAGUCACUGAGGCUCAAAAGAUGUCAAAAGAGCCUCCCUGAGGCUCUUUGUCGGGACCUGUGGUGGAGAAAAACAUGCAUUUGGCUUGUCAGCAAUUUCAAGACCCUGCCAACUGAGACAAUCUUCCCUGAAAGGAGAAGAGGAGGGUACACUGGCCAGAGGAAUUCUCCAGUUGCAGACAGGCAUAUGGUGCGAUGCUAGACUGGAACCGAGGCCCCUGCGCUGAGUCUGAUUCUAGCCCCAUAGCCUUUGGGGGCUUUGGGUACAUUCUAAACUCUUUCAGAGCCUUAGUUUCCCCUUGCGUUGAAACCAAGACUUGAAAUAACGAAUCUCCAACUUCCUUUCCAGCUUCAGGAUCCUAUGGUCUAAAACGAGUUUUCUUAAAUGAGUUUUCUAGCUUGGCUAAAACAAUUCGGGCUUGGCAACAGUUACGUGAAGUCCACUAGGUUUUGAAGAGCUCAAUUUUGGUUAUGGGUAAUAAUGGGUUUAACCAAAAGUAGGAACGAUGAGAGAUGGGUGGCUGAAACCGUCAUUUACUCCUCUCCCCAGAAAAAGGAUUGGCUGUGCGUCAGACAAAAUUUAGUUUCUAAGCAGCACACCAGAAAAACCGGAUGCGUCUGGUAGCGUAGAAGGGGAAACUGCCUUGGGAUUCUUGUUCCCCUACCAUAAUCAGAUUCCCAUGGUCCCAGUGGGCAUAGCCUUAGAGUUGAGCUGAGAAUCAUAAAGCAGGGGUCGUCACCUGGCUUCAAGCUGAGGUACCUCCUACCAAGUAACCAGUAAGCGGCAUGAAUAGUUAUGGUGCUCGCAGGCAGAGGAGGGAAUAAUCAGGCCACGGUGAAGAUGCUGCAGAAGGUUAGAGGGCAUUCCGGAGAGGUGACGGGAAGACUGGACCUUCUUUGAAGACUGAGUCGGACCCAAGUAAACGAAGAAGCGUUGGUGGCUAGGGGGACAGAAGGAGAGAGGGGACAUACUGCAGCUGGAGAAAAAAGAACAAUCCAGGUUACCACAGGCAGCGGAGGUACAGAGGUCGUCUGGAUCAGGUCCAGGGUUUGUAGGUGCUAAAGACACGCGGAGUUGUGACGAGGGAACCAGAUGAAAAAUCUCAGGGCCACCCAGUUUUUCUUUCAUCGAGUGAAAUUUGGUCACUGACAAAGAAGGUAAUAACCAAUUGGUUAUCAACUUGCUUUUUAAGAAUAGUCAUUGCGCAGGGACAACUCUGGCAAGGGUGACCUUGGUAUCGUCAUAGGCAUGUGCUUGUCUUAGCCUAGUUGGCUAAUGUGAAGGUCUCCAUAGAACAUAAUGCCAUUGAAGGUGUGGUGGCAGUUGAGUCUUGGAUUUCUUUUGAAUCAGCUGCCUCCAUCGAUUCGUCGCAACGAAUGCAUACUCUCCUUCUUGAGCUCAAUGAUCUCAGAGUACGGGCCAUACUACCGAGUGAGCUGUUUGAUGCAAUUUUCACGUCUAGAAGUGUUUUGCAAUGAAUACUUCCCAUUGGGUAUAGGGCACUCCACUGGGGUCAUAUCGUUCACCCACAGGCAAUGACAAAGGUCCACUGUAGCUCUGCGAGCUGCUCUGCAGGUAGGUCCUAGCACAAUUUCAACCUCUCCCAAGGCCGCUUGUGCAUCCCAGCCAUAAAAUAGUCUGCACGUAAGAUACUAUUUUCCGAAUCUCUCUAAUGUCACAAGGAUGAUUUGUCACGGUAAAGGCUAUCAACACCCAAGUAAGUUAUGACAAGGCCUCUUCGGGCUUUAGUUCGAGGUCUUCAUCAACAUUAACGUUCUUAUUUUUGUCAUAGCCAAUGUUUUCUAACUCGAGACCAGUUAAUUUCAGGAAUAAUCUAUGUCUGUGCAAAUCUGCCUAGCUGAGGAGAACUUCUGACAUCAGUCAUCAGCAACUUACGGAGCACUUUUCUCAUACCUAUUCCUGUCAUAUAAGAUGCUAAAGUAGUAUUUUUAGAGCUUGAGAAUUGCUCUUGGGAGUCAAAACACGUAGUUAAGGGAAUAAUCCUCUAUUGCUUCCUCCCUCCCUCCCUUCUACUGCAACAACAUUGAGCAUGUGUAUAUAUUUUAGCAAGCAAGAGCUGGGGAAUCUGAGACAGGUUAUCUCUAAAUCUCUGCCUUCAAGGAAUGCAGAGCCUAAGAGAGUUAGAUCUCAAGAAAUAACUCUGUGGGCCGCAUGUCCGCUGAGUUACCCUGUCCAUCAAGAGUCAAGUAAGAGCGAUUCAAAUCCUAACCUAGAAGUCAUGGUAGCCUUGAGUCCCUUCUGGGCCUUUCAAAAUAAUUUUUUUUUAAUUUUUUUAACGUUUAUUUAUUUUUGAGACAGAGAGAGACAGAGCAUGAACGGGGGAGAGGCAGAGAGAGAGGGAGACACAGAAUCCAAAACAGGCUCCAGGCUCUGAGCGGUCAGCACAGAGCCCGACGCGGGGCUCGAACUCAUGGACCAUGAGAUCAUGACCUGAGCCGAAGUCGGACGCUUAACCGACCAAGCCACCCAGGCGCCCCUCAAAAUAAUUUUUUAUGGAGGACGGGAGGUAGAAGGAGUAGGAGGGGGGUUAGGACAAUACUGACAUUCUCCCUUUUCACCUCUGGCUGCAUCUUACUGUUCCAUAUGUCACAUUCCUGCAUCACAUUGCCUGAAGUGUGGACCCUAACUUCAACCGCCUGAAACUUCGCACCUACAAGACAGUUGUUUGCGUGGUGGACUUUAUUGAACGUUUGAGAUGAUUGGAGGGAUUUCACACUGUCCAUUGCUUGCCUCCACCUCUGUAUACACCCGAUUUCCUCACUGGUUUGGUCUUUCCACUUUAACUCAGAAGAGAGAAGCUUGACAGAAUUGUAGACGGUGAAGGACGAAAUGAAGUGUGAAGGAUGAAUAAGCAGUGGCCAGCUUGGGGGGUGCUUGACAGAGGUGAGGGGGCUUUCUUUUCCUGUAAUCAGGCAAAGCCUUCCAUCUCCUGUAGCUCUCUGCUCCAUGAUCUCCUAGCCAUGGACUCUGCAUUGUGUCUGCUCAACCCGGGCCACCUACUCACGCCUCACGCUUCAGUGGUACCAAAGAACAGUAGAGGCUGAAAUUUUCUCAUUCUCUCCCAGCCCCAACCCAGUCCCUGAACAGGGAAGGGAGCACUAUAAAGAUUCACUGAUAGUGAAUUAUGUCACUUUCUUUAUUUUUUUAUAUUGCAUAUGAUUUAUUGUCCAAUUGGUUUCCAUACAACACUCAGUGCUCAUCCCAACAGGUGCCCUCCUCAAUGCCCAUCACCCACUUUCCCCUCUCCCCCACCCCCCAUCAACCCUCAGUUCGUUCUCAGUAUUUAAGAGUCUCUUAUGGUUUGCCUCCCUCCCUCUCUGUAACUUUUUCCCCCCUUCCCCUCCCCCCCCCCGGUCUUCUGUUAAGUUUCUCAGGACCCACAUAUGAGUGAAAACAUAUGGUAUCUGUCUUCCUCUGCCUGACUUAUUUCACUUAGCAUAAUACCCUCCAGUUCCAUCCACGUUGCUACAAAUGGACAGAUUUCAUUCUUUCUCAUUGCCAAGGAGUAUCCCAUUGCAUACGUAAACCACAUCUUCUUUAUCCAUUUAUCAGUUAAUGGACAUUUAGGCUCUUUCCAUAAUUUGGCUAUUGUUGAAAGUGCUGCUAUAAACAUUGGGGUACAAGUGCCCCUAUGCAUCAGCACUCCCGUAUCCCUUGGGUAAAUUCCUAGCAGUGCUGUUGCUGGGUCAUAGGGUAGAUCUAUUCUUAAUUUUCUGAGGAAACUCCCCACUGUUUUCCAGAGCGACUGCACCAGUUUAAAUGUUAUAGUUUCCCCUCUCUAAUGGCAACACAGUUCAGCCUAUCCCCACCCUUCAUCCGGGUGCUCUUACACUCUCUUAAGAUAAAUAAUGGAUUCUUUACUUCCCAUCUUAAGCCGUGACUCUAAAAGUAAAUAAAUAGCCAUGUUGCAUACCAAGGGCCAUCUUCAAUGGCUCCUGGAAAACUCACUUCUAAAUAACAACAAAAAAAUAUUGAAUACCUAAUUCGGUCACUGUUAAAACACUGUUAAUUUGUUGAGACGUAGUCAAGAGAUACUCAUUCACCUCUUAACAAUGGUGAGGGUAACUUUAAGUUAAAAAAAAAGAUGAAGGAGUCUUGUUCUAUAGAAAUUAACACACCAAAAGAAACUUGUUUUCUGAAGUUAAUCUUCUUAUAGAUCAAAAUGACAGAAUUACAAAGUCAAAGCAAUGAGAGAGAAAAAUCAAGACUUGAAGAGUUGGCCAUUUGAGAAUGAAAUAAUAAUGGAAGCAUACAGAUCAUUUCUUAAUCUUAUUUUAGCCUUCAGGUUGAAACUUAGUAGAACUGGCGGAGUGCUAGGUACUCCCUUGAAAGUUGUGUUUUCACAUAAUCCGAUUUAUUCCAUAAGGGGAAAUGUUUCUCAAGAGUAAAAUGGCCAAGUUGAAGAAAACUAAAGGUCUUGGGAACACAUUUUAGUGUGUUAUUGAAAGUUGUUUGUAAUUCUAAGCUAUGGUAGGUUGUUUCUAAAGAUGACCAUCAUAAGUCCCUUCCUCCUCUGCACCUAUCUGCCAUUUCCAUGUCAUGAGAUAAAGUCAGAUUUCCCUCCCCUUGAAUUUGGGCUGGCCUUAAGUUCUUGUUUGACCAACAGAAUGAGGUAGAAAUGAAAACACAGCACGUUCAAGGUCAUAGAAAGUCUUGCAGCUUGCACUUGAGUCUCAUGGAACAUUCUUCUUGAGAUGCUCUUGGAACCCAUCGGCCAUGCCGUGAGAAGUCUAAGCCACACUAAAAGACCACAUACACAGCUCUAGGAGACCGCUUCCGCUGAAGUUCCAACCAACAGUUGGCCAUGUGAUACGGCAAUCUUGGCUGUUGAGUCCAAUGGAACCUCCUGAUGACUCCAGCCUCAUCUACCAUCUGAUAGAAUAUACAAGGGAGACCUUGAGCAAGAACCAUCCAGUUGAGCCUAGUCAAUGUACAGAGCCAUGAGAGAUAAUAGUAAAGUGUUGCUUUAAGCCAUGGAAUUUUUUGGAUGGUUUGUAAUAGAGCACUACAUAACAAGAACAGAAGUAAGAAUAUUAUGAAUAAUUAAUUUGUUCUUUCUUUUCAACACUUGGUACAGUCUUUUGGAACCAGGUCCUACGCUGGGUGCUGGGAAUUCAAAGAUGAAUGAGAUAGAAGAUGUAAAGCCCAAUACGUUUGCUGAAGCAACCCCUUGUUGGCGAGACAGACUGAUGAACAGAAGAAUAUUACAUGGGACAAGGAGUGGUAUUACAAGAAUGUGUGUAGAUCCUGUGGGAUCACACAGUCUUGGGAAAACAAAUCUGUUUUUGGAAGGUGGUGAACAGAGUGAGACUUGAAGACUGAAGAAGAGAUCACAGGCGUAUCAGCUGGGGGAAGGUCCCCUGAGCAUUAGCACAGGGAGAAGAUGGCAUGUGGGAUCUUCCUGGAACUACAAGUACUUCAAUAAGCCUGGAGCAUAGAUGUGAGGGCUACGUGGCCAAAGAUGUGGUUGGAAAGGCUACCAGAAGGCUGAAAAAAGGUCCAGCGUACGGGGGCGAAGGAGUUUGGAUUUCAUUUAUGUGUUUAUUUUUAUUUUAUUCUUCAACGUCAAAGUCUAGCCAUGCUGACCCACUUCUUUCUUCUGUCAUUAUCCUUCAAUAAUUAAAUCGAAUGGUUCUAACGUCUGUAUUGAAGGAUUUCGAGGACAGGCACUUUAUAAUCCAGAAUGAUGGCAUCAGAAAUAGAUGGGGGGCAUAGUGGAGAAGGCAAGAUUAUGUAUGCAGGGAGACUAUUUAGGAGUCUCUGCCAGUAAUUUAGGCAUGGCAGUGGGAGUGAGAUCGGAAAGAAGGAUAUGUUAAACAGGUGGAGCCUGAGUGCUGAAUUUGUAAGACAAGGGAGAGGGAGGAAUCCAAAAUGAGGUCCAGAUUUCUAACUCGGGCAGACGAAGAGAUGGUGAUGUCAUUCACUGAGCUGUGGCAGAGGAAUGAUGACAAAGAGGGAAUGUGUUGGACUGAGAACGUACAUGAAGCAUUGACGGGAGGGUGUACAGUAGAGAGGUGGGUGGGGAGCUCCAGAGGUUAGGGGGGGACCCUGAGCUGAAGAUCGGGAUUUGGAGGUCAUGAAUAUGUAGAAAGGGCCGGAAGCCAUGGGUGCAAAGGAGAGAAGGGCAAUGGGUACUGUGCUAACAGAGAUUAUGCGUGGGACUUCAGGGAAGGACCAUGUCCAAGGGCAAGUUAGGGGAAGCCUGUAAUGGGGAUCAAGAAGGAGUAACCAAGGUGCCUGGGUGCCUCAGUCGCUUGGGUGUCCAACUUCUGCUCGGGUCAUGAUCUCGCGGUUCGUGGGUGCGAGCCCCGCGUCGGGCUCUGUGCUGACAGCUCGGAGCCCGGAGCCUGCUUCGGAUGCUGUGUCUCCUCUCUCUCUCUGCCCCUACCCCACUCACAGCCUGUCUCUCUCUCCCCCUCAAGAAUAAAUAAACAUUUGAAAAAAUUAAAAGGAAAAAAAAAAAGAGUAACCAGAGUGGUAUGAGGAAAUGAGAUAAGAAGCCAAGGAUACGAGAGGCACCAGGUGCGAUGAUGGCAUAAGAUGCCGCGAAGAGGAAACAUUCGAGGAGGAAGACAUUGGAGACCUUGGAUAGAUCGGCUUACGUAGAUUUAUGAGGGCAAAGGAGAAGGUCUAGUGGAUUCAGGGCAGCAUGAAAGGCGAGGAAGUGGAGUUACGGAAGGUAGGCUAAAUCUAAGAAAGUAGAAGAAUGUUGUUCGUAUUUUUUUUUACUGCGAUAUCAUUGACACAAUGUUGUAUUCGUUCCAGGUGCGUAACAUAAAGGUUCAAUAUUUGUAUAUAUGGUCAUGUCUUUUUAAAGACAAUAGUGGCCUGAGAGUGUUUAUAAACAGUAAAGAAAACACAUGAGAGCUGAAGAGACUGAAUAAGUGGAUGGAAGAGAAGGGGAGGGGCAGAGGAUACAGGAGAAGGAGCAGGCAUUCGAUGGGGGGAUGCUCUUACCCAUUGAUGUAGGUGGGAAAUUAGCCAAGGAGGCGCGUGUUGGCAGAGGCUUGAGGGGAGAAGCAAGGGGAGGACAGGAGCCCUCCGUGAAGUAAGGACAGAGUGGCCAUCCAAGAAGGCUGGAGACGGCGGUGGACAGGUGGCUUCUAAAAGAAUGGUAGGGUUUGAAAAAGCUACCGUAGGGUAAUAGGCUAGUGCUGGCUCAGGGCACAGAGAAGGAUGGCCUCGUGGCUUGAACUGAGCAAAGAUGUAAAAGAAUGGAUUUAAAAAAAUUUUUUUUAAAUAUUUAUUUAGUUUUAAGAGACAGGGAGACAGAGUGUGA
rnacentral:lncRNA from 1 species